rnacentral:rRNA from 1 species
GAUGAACGCUCGCGGCAGGCCUAACACAUGCAAGUCGAGGGGGAGGUUACUUUCGGGUAACUGAGACCGGCGUACGGGUGCGUAACGCGUAUACAAUCUGCCUUUCACUGGGGGAUAGCCCGAAGAAAUUUGGAUUAAUACCCCAUAGUAUAGUAAUACGGCAUCGUGAUGCUAUUAAAGCUUAGGUGGUGAAAGAUGAGUAUGCGUUCUAUUAGCUAGUUGGAGAGGUAACGGCUCCCCAAGGCGAUGAUAGAUAGGGGUUCUGAGAGGGAUGUCCCCCACACUGGUACUGAGAUACGGACCAGACUCCUACGGGAGGCAGCAGUGAGGAAUAUUGGACAAUGGUCGGAAGACUGAUCCAGCCAUGCCGCGUGCAGGAUGAAGGUCUUAUGGAUUGUAAACUGCUUUUGUAAGGGAAGAAUAAGGGCUACGCGUAGUUUGAUGACGGUACCUUACGAAUAAGCAUCGGCUAACUCCGUG